UGUGUUUAUAGCUGUGCACAUUUUUUUCUUCAUAGGCUGUUUUGCCAUUGGAAUGGGCUGCCCAGGAGGUGGUGGAGUCGUUGUGCCUCGAGGUGUUGAAGAAAGGACUGGAUGAGGCACUUAGUGCCAUGGUCUGGUUGCUUGGAUAGGACUGCUUAAGAGGUUGGAUGGGAUGAUCUUGGAGGUCUUUUCCAAGCUGGUUGGAAGAAGCCCUUUCUACACACUUGAAAUACUUUCUUCCAAAGAUUAAGUAAAAUGGUGAAGUACAGACAUGCAGUUCUAACACUGCUACAGAGUCUAAUAAUGGUGAAAUCCUUUCUGGCUGUCAACAUUCUCAAGCAUCAGAAUAAGCACACUAAAGACCGUGGAAAAAUAUUGCUUACAGAAUGAAUACUGCAAAGUGUAGCUGUGGAAUCUUUUCCGUCUGAUAAAUAUUUUAAGUGAGGACUGUCUACAUCGCAUUAGUUUGGACCAACUGCAUGUCUCAUUUAAUACAAGAGCUAUUGCCCAUCGUAGGACACAGUGCACUAGAUUGGAUGGAUCUUAACUUUGACCCAUACAGAGGUUCUAGUGCUAUUUUGCAUCAGAGAGAUGAGGAUAUCAGAAGACCCCUCAGCAAACUACAGAGAAGCUGAGCAGCUGGGACCAAGGUUUUUGCACACGUUGUGGUUUCACAUAAUUAAAAGCACAGCAAGGGAACUGCCAAAAGUGAGCUCCUGCUGGGAUGGAGAUAUUGUCAAUAAGGACGUAAAGAUUAUGCUCAUCUGCAGCUCUCCACAUUCACUCACCAGCUACCCAAGA